rnacentral:rRNA from 1 species
GAUGAACGCUGGCGGCGUGCCUAAUACAUGCAAGUCGAACGAAUCUUCUUCGGAAGAUGAGUGGCGAGCGGGUGAGUAAUACAUAGGUAACCUGCCCCUGUGCGGGGGAUAACAGGAGGAAACUCCUGCUAAUACCGCAUAGCCAUGAGCACCGCAUGGAGCUCAUGCCAAAUAUCCUUUCGGGGAUAGCGCAGGGAUGGACCUAUGGCGCAUUAGCUGGUUGGCGGGGCAACGGCCCACCAAGGCAACGAUGCGUAGCCGGCCUGAGGGGGCGGACGGCCACAUUGGGACUGAGACACGGCCCAGACUCCUACGGGAGGCAGCAGUAGGGAAUUUUCGGCAAUGGGGGAAACCCUGACCGAGCAACGCCGCGUGAGCGAAGAAGGCCUUCGGGUCGUAAAGCUCUGUUGUAAAGGAAGAACGGCGCAUACAGGAAAUGGUAUGCGAGUGACGGUACUUUACCAGAAAGCCACGGCUAACUACGUGCCAGCCGCCGCAGUAA